ACGGAAAGACCCCGUGAACCUUUACUAUAGCUUGACACUGAACAUUGAGCCUUGAUGUGUAGGAUAGGUGGGAGGCUUUGAAGUGUGGACGCCAGUCUGCAUGGAGCCGACCUUGAAAUACCACCCUUUAAUGUUUGAUGUUCUAACGUGGACCCGUAAUCCGGGUUGCGGACAGUGUCUGGUGGGUAGUUUGACUGGGGCGGUCUCCUCCUAAAGAGUAACGGAGGAGCACGAAGGUUGGCUAAUCCUGGUCGGACAUCAGGAGGUUAGUGCAAUGGCAUAAGCCAGCUUGACUGCGAGCGUGACGGCGCGAGCAGGUGCGAAAGCAGGUCAUAGUGAUCCGGUGGUUCUGAAUGGAAGGGCCAUCGCUCAACGGAUAAAAGGUACUCCGGGGAUAACAGGCUGAUACCGCCCAAGAGUUCAUAUCGACGGCGGUGUUUGGCACCUCGAUGUCGGCUCAUCACAUCCUGGGGCUGAAGUAGGUCCCAAGGGUAUGGCUGUUCGCCAUUUAAAGUGGUACGCGAGCUGGGUUUAGAACGUCGUGAGACAGUUCGGUCCCUAUCUGCCGUGGGCGCUGGAGAAUUGAGGGGGGCUGCUCCUAGUACGAGAGGACCGGAGUGGACGCAUCACUGGUGUUCGGGUUGUCAUGCCAAUGGCACUGCCCGGUAGCUAAAUGCGGAAGAGAUAAGUGCUGAAAGCAUCUAAGCACGAAACUUGCCCCGAGAUGAGUUCUCCCUGACUCCUUGAGAGUCCUGAAGGAACGUUGAAGACGACGACGUUGAUAGGCCGGGUGUGUAAGCGCAGCGAUGCGUUGAGCUAACCGGUACUAAUGAACCGUGAGGCUUAACCUUACAACGCCGAAG
rnacentral:rRNA from 1 species